rnacentral:rRNA from 1 species
CUGAGAGACCGAUAGCGCACAAGUAGUGUGAACGACAGGUGAAAAGCACCCUGCAAAGGGAGUUCAAAGAACGUGAAACCGUUAG